rnacentral:lncRNA from 1 species
GUAUUUUUGAUCUGAAACGGAGCCUUAAGGCCCAUUCAUGACUGAAGGUCAUGCUUUACAGUAAAUUUACCACAGUAAAAUGUUCUUAUGCAUUUUGGAAAGCAGAUAAAGAGGUACAACCCCAGAAAAACAUAGCCUCAGGAGUAUUACUUUGAUAAAAUGACAGCUACAGAGAGCAACGUCAAAGCUGUCUGCAUUAAGAUGAAACAUGCUUAGCUUAGCUUAUAGGAAAGCAGGUACAAAAACUUUUGUCAUAAAAUGACAACACAGUCUGCUUUUUGUUUGUUUUUUCUUUCAUUAAAUUCCAGACAGCUGUUUUUGAGUGUGAAAACAUGACUGGGCAGAGUAUGAAGGGAUGGAAGACAAAGAGAGCGAUAGAGGGAAAACAAAUCAGCCUACCUUACUGCUAUUGAAAAGGCUGAUGGCACUGACCCUAAUCAUGAUGGAUGGGAGCGAAGGAGAGAGAGAAUGAGAGAUGGAAGUGAGGGAGAGGGAGAAGCGUUAUGGGAUAGAUGAGCUCCUGGCAUGAGGGUUGGAUUAAGGGCUCGUCUCUCCUGCUGCUCACCAAUUGCACCUCAUUCCUGCAGGUUAAGGGAAAUACGGCUACUUUUGUAAACAAUACAGGAGCAAAAUAAGACUAGCAUGAGUCUCUCGCUCAGGGAAAAUAGCUGACUCUAUCACUGCAGAGACACAGAUGUUUCUGAGAAAAAAAAAAAAAAAAAAAACAACUUACUGCCACAACUCUGAUAUGUCGGUGCAUUACCAGAGAGGUUGCUAGGGUACUCAGGGUGGUUGCCAGGGUGUUGCUAGGAUAUUCUAUGUGAUUGCCAGGGUGUUGCUAGGUGGUUGUUAUGAUAUUCAGGGCAGUUGCCAGGACAUUGUCUAGGGUAUUUUGAGUUCAUAGCUCCGGCAUUUCUAAGUGGUUGUUAGGGUAUUCAGGGUGGUUGCCCUGAAUUACUAGUGCAUUGCUUGGGGGUUGCUAUGGUAUUUAGGGUGGUGACCAGGAUGUUGCUAUGGUAUUCUGGGUGGUUGCUAGUGUGUUUCUAGUUGGUUGCUAGGGAAUUCAGGGAGGUUACCAGGAAGUUGCUUGAAUAUUCUGGGUGAUUACCAGUGCGUUGCUACAGUAGGCGGGCGAUAGGUUAUUCAGGGUGGUUGCCAGGGUGUUGCUAGGGUAUUCUGGGUAGUUGCCAGGGUGUUUCUAGGUGGUUGCUAGGGUAUUCAAGGAGGUUGCCAGGAUGUUGCUAGGAUUUUCUGAGUGCUUACCAGUGUGUCACUAGGUGGGUGUUAGGCUAUUCAGGGUGGUUGCUAUGGUGUUGCUAAGGUAUUCUGGGUGGUAGCCAGUGCGUUGACAGGGUGUUUCUA